GACGAACGCUGGCGGCGUGCCUAACACAUGCAAGUCGAGCGGGGUUGAGGCGAGAGGUAACUCGAACUUCUACCUAGCGGCGGACGGGUGAGUAACGCGUGGGCAACCUGCCUCAAGGUUUGGGAUAACAGCCCGAAAGGGCUGCUAAUACCGGAUAUGCCUAUGGCCUCGCAUGGGGCUAUGAGCAAAGGGGAAACCCGCCUUGAGAUGGGCCCGCGUCCCAUCAGCUAGUUGGUGAGGUAACAGCUCACCAAGGCGACGACGGGUAGCCGGCCUGAGAGGGUGACCGGCCACACUGGGACUGAGACACGGCCCAGACUCCUACGGGGGCAGCAGUGGGGGAUCUUGCACAAUGGGCGAAGCCUGAUGCAGCGACGCCGCGUGAGCGAAGAAGGCCUUCGGGUUGUAAAGCUCUGUCGUGGAGGGACGAAACAAUGACGGUACCUCCGGAGGAGCCACGGCUAACGUACGUGCCAGCACGCCGCGGUAAAGUGUGUGUACUGAC
rnacentral:rRNA from 1 species